rnacentral:lncRNA from 1 species
AGAGUACAUUUUCCUACCCUUUGACUUUGGCCUCAUCCCUACAGCUUGUUUCAGCUGAUCGUGUGGUCAAAAGUGUACCACUUCUCAUCCUAGGCGUUAAGAGACUUUGUCUUUUUCUGCUUGCCCUCUUGUGCCUUUUGCAUUUCUGUUCUUUCUGCAACAUGAGCUUUCUGUGGAUAGCUGCUACUCCUUUAGCUGACCUGCAACAUUUUUCCCCCAUUUUUAAAAAAGUUUUACACAGUGUAGUUGAUUUACAAUGUUGUGAUAAUUUCUGCUGUACAACAAAGUGAUUCAGGUAUACAUGUGCACAUCCACUGUUUUUCAGUUUCUUUUCCCAUGUAGAUGAUCAUAGAAUAUUGGGUAGAAGUCUCUGUGCUAUACAGCAGGUCCCUGUUGGCCAAGCAUUCCAUAUACCUCAGUGUGCAUGUGCCAAUCCUAAACCUCCAGUCCAUCCAUCCUUCCACCUCUGGCCCUCAACUUGAAGCAGAGCCAGCAUAAAUUAUCUGAUUUCUAGUUGACCUGUAGAUAUGUGAGAAUAAAUGAUAGUUGUUUUAGGUCAAUGAGUUCUGAGAUGGUCUGUUACACAGCAUCUUUGUGGCAGUAGCUAACUGAUACAUGCAGUUCUAAAGAACCAUCUUACAAGUGAACUCUUGGAAUAUAACCCAUUAGGAAACUGGGAUUUUCCAGCAUUGCAGUAAGAUCACUAUUCUAUUUUUAAUGAGAAUUUUUUCUAUUUUUUAUUUAGUUACAGCCCAGUGACAGAACAAGAGCAUAAUUUGUUACCUGAUGAGACAAAGACUAAGAGAGUAUGUGUUGCAUCUAUAGAGAAUGACUAAUGGGUAUAGAGUGGUUUUCAAACAGCUCUGUGGCAUUCUAGGGCCUCUGGGAGUUUUCAUACAGACGCCCCAGCCUGGGAGUGCCUUCUCUCCUUCCUUCACCUAGUUUCAACUGUAGUAGGGCUCAUCUCAUUUGUUUUGGAUACUGGGCUUCUUUGUAAGAUUUUAUCUAAUUAAAAGGCUAAGAUAGUCUGAACACUCCAGUGAACUUGCAUUUCUGGGAACUCAAGGUUUUUUAUACCUGUCCAUGCUUUUGCUUCUGCCUAGACUGCUCUAGGCAGCCUCUCCCUCCCUUCCCCGGCCGCCCCCGCCUCUCUCUCAGCUUCUCUGUAGAGAGUUCCUGUUCAUUCCUCAGUAUUCGUGGUGGUUUAAUAAUAUGUCUGUGAGUUCUUUGAUAAGUUUUUCCUUCAAAAGUUGGGGCCUCGUUGCCAUCCCCUUAAGUGUUACUAAGUAUGCUUAGGAACUUCCAAGGAAUAGACUAUGUAGAAAGCAAGGGUGUGUGACGUCCAAGCUUCGGACCUUUCCGUCUCUGUCUCUGUCCCUGUCUCUUUCUCAGUUCACUCGUUCUCGGGAAUUCACCUGCAGUCUCAUGGGCACACUGAAGCAGCCCCAUGGAGAAGCCCACUGAGAGGGACUAAGUGAGGCCACCUCCCAACAGCUGUGUGAAUGCUCCUGACGGCCGCUUUAUGGGAAAUGUUGAGCCAGCCCUUGAAUUCUGGAUGCACAGAAACUAAAUGAGAAAAAAAAAUCUAUUUUGUGGUCAUUUGUUUUGCAAUAAUCAUAACUAAUACAGUCCCCAACUGAAAAGAUUUUUAUCUCUGAUAUGUUCCUGAAAUGCCUGAGUGUUAAUGAUUUUCUUCUUUCUCAUAGUCUUUAAUAUAUACCUUGUUUGCAGAAUUUGUUCCAUUGCAUUGUCUGUUUACAUUUCUGUCUCCUGCAUUAGGCUGUGAGAUAUUUGUAUUCUCAGAUGUCUGGCACAGUUCUUGGCAUCCUAUACAUUGAAUAAAGAAUUAAAAAAAUAGUCCAAAUCUGAAAAAAGUCACCCAGAGAAUAAGACAAAGGGUAAAAAUGUCAUCUCUGUCUCUGCUACAGUAACUCUUAGUUUUGACCAGAGAUGAUAAAUAAGCUGAGAAAUCCUCAAAUGGAAUCAAUACUGUAUUUUCACAACGUGCCAGCAGCUGCAGCUCUGAUUCAACCCUUAGCUUGGGAACCUCCAUGUGCCAUAGGUGUGGCCCUAAAGAAAGCAAAGCAAAACAAAACAAAACAAAACAAAAAAAAACAAAACAAAAAAAAAGAGGAGCUUGCUGAAAGAGGUGAAGAAGGAAGACAAGUGGGGCAGAGAUCAAAUACAUGUAGAGAGAAUAACCCUGGCUUCCGGUUUUCUAAUUCUAGUUCUGUUUGACUUGCAUGUAAUUUGUUUUCCAUCUGAGUUUCCAACCCGUUUCUGGGUUGCCUGUUGUAUCUUUACAAUAAAAUCCCCCACACUUUAGCUAAUUGGAGUGUAUUACUCCUUCUUUCAUCCACAUAGCACCUUUCUAAAAUAAUGCUGAAUUUUCAGAUGAAGUAUUGUUCUCAAGAGACCAUCAGGGGAGUAGUGUCAGCUCAUCAAUUUAGGCGCUAAACCAGCUUCCACCCAGGAAGCAAGAGGAAGACAGGUAUGGCUUCAGUGUAUUAUUAGUGAGAACUCUGGAAACAAGUUGGCACGUGCAUCUUGACCUCUGCUUGCUGAGAUUCUACCUGCUGAUGGCCAAGAUCUCAGCAGUCACUAUGGUCUACACUGACCAGAGCCAAGAACAUUUUGAAAAAAAAAACAAAAAAACAAAAAAA